rnacentral:rRNA from 1 species
CCUACGGGAGGCAGCAGUGGGGAAUUUUGGACAAUGGGCGCAAGCCUGAUCCAGCAAUGCCGCGUGCAGGAUGAAGGCCUUCGGGUUGUAAACUGCUUUUGUACGGAGCGAAACGGUCUGCUUUAAUACAGUAGGCUAAUGACGGUACCGUAAGAAUAAGCACCGGCUAACUACGUGCCAGCAGCCGCGGUAAUACGUAGGGUGCGAGCGUUAAUCGGAAUUACUGGGCGUAAAGCGUGCGCAGGCGGUUAUAUAAGACAGAUGUGAAAUCCCCGGGCUCAACCUGGGACCUGCAUUUGUGACUGUAUAGCUAGAGUACGGUAGAGGGGGAUGGAAUUCCGCGUGUAGCAGUGAAAUGCGUAGAUAUGCGGAGGAACACCGAUGGCGAAGGCAAUCCCCUGGACCUGUACUGACGCUCAUGCACGAAAGCGUGGGGAGCAAACAGGAUUAGAUACCCUGGUAGUCCACGCCCUAAACGAUGUCAACUGGUUNUUGGGUCUUCACUGACUCAGUAACGAAGCUAACGCGUGAAGUUGACCGCCGNGGGAGGUACGGCCGCGAGGUAGAACGUACGAACGUAGAGUUAGUACGGACGUGAGACGUUGCCGACGGACGACGACGAGGGAGGAGGG